UUACAACAACAACGACAACCACUGAUCGACUCCAACGUGGGCUCUAGCUCGCUUUUCAUCUUUUAUCCUUCUCCUUUGUGCCUUUCAAACUAGCAUAACGUACCCGCUCAUUUUCUUUUGUGUGUGUGUGUGUCUCUGCGUGGUUAUCUGCUUUUCUGGGCGUUGGUGUCUGUCUAAAUUCUUGUUUUCCUUCUAAGCGACCUCAUCAUUCACCCGUGUGCUGCACGCGGUGCUGUCCAACGAGCCGCACAAGCCCUCAGCAGAAGAGGCGUGCACCUUGCCGCUGGCGGUCGGUAUCAGAGGAGCGAUACACACGCACACAUCCAUCCACACACCGAAAAGCCCUUCUCUGCUCCUUCUCUCCUCCGCAUACACUUCCACCUUGCUGGUGCCCACGCCUACUAUUUGUUUCUGCGUAUAUGCGUGCCGGACUACCUCUGGCAUACACGCGUUUUACCUGUUUUGUUUUUUGUUGUUGUUCUUCUCCCUUUGAACUGUUUCAACUCUCUACUGACACAACCCACGCCGGACACCCUCCCCACCGUCCCCACUCUCCCCCUCUCUAUAUUUCUUACAUGUAGUCGUUCUGUCAAUCAACCCUAAACGAAAACAAGGACGAGCCCUCCUCUCCCACCUCUGUACAUAUAGACGUGAGCGUUUGUGUGUACGUGCAUUGGUUUUCCUCGUGCACGUGCCUCCUUGGGUGCAGCCAGCCCUCUUCCCCACCCCCACCACCUCUGUCUCCCUCACUCUCUUUCUUUGCGUGUCUGUGUUGUGUGCUGACAGCUUUUGCCAGCUGUACGUUUGCCUCUUCUUAAUCCUGUUUUUUUUUGCAUUUUGUUUUUGUCCUCCUCCACCCUCCCUCCCUUCUGCGGGCGUUCUUCGGCUGUUUUCGUGUGGCUCGCGCUUUUCCUACCCCGCCUUCCACAACAUACGAGCUUUCGCUGUCCACCUCUCGCGGUCGCCGUUUUGGUGUCACCGCUCCCCUUGGACUUGCUCGCUGUUCGAAGUCCUUUUGUCGCAGCCUUGUCCCUCAUUCAAGGAAGUCUGAGUGCGUGUGUCCGUCCGCACGACGCUUGCGGCCGCCGUCCUUUACGUGCCAGGCUGUACGCCGACACCCAAUCCACUUUGCCGCUGAUCUGACCACUACUCUGCAUUUCUGUUUCUCUCUGUUCUCUCUGGGCUCUCGCCUAAUUCUUCUCCAG
rnacentral:misc_RNA from 1 species